GUGAACCUGAUCAGUGAAGUUGAUGGGUUUGCACCAUGUGAGAAGAUAGGAUCACUGAGCUUUUGAAGGUCGGCAAGGACAAGCGCGUGUUUUAAGGUCACCAAGAGGAAGUGGGGUACCCACAAGAGUGCCAAGGAGAAGGGAGAAGAGAUGCCAAUGUUUUUCGCAAGAUGAGGAGGCGUUUGUGAUCCCUAAAGAGUGUAGGAAACUUGUGAUUACCUCUGCUGCUAAUAAAUGGAGGGAUUUCAAUUCCAAAUUGACUGCCAAGUACUUCAUCCCUUACUUGGGAGACCGUGAAAGCUAGAAAACCCUCCAGAAGUCCAGAUGAUUAUCGAUUUAUUAAGAAACCUGCAUGGGACAUCUUUGUUGGAACUAGGAUGACCAAAUAUUUUCAGGUAUCAGAACCGUAUGGAUUGGUCUUUAAAGGUGAGUGAUGCAGGUUGGGCAUAUAGGACAGCCUUUAAAACUCCUUUGAACAUGUCUCCUUAUCGACUUGUCUUUGGGAAAGCUUGUCAUCUUCCAGUGGAGCUGUAGCAUCGAGCAUAUUGGGCUUUAAAGCAGUUGAAUUUUGAUAUUAAUAAAGCUGGAACUUUGAGGAAGCUUCAGUUAAAUGAAUUGGAUCAGCUGACGAAUGAAGCUUAUGAGAAUGCAAGAAUUUACAAGGAGAAGACAAAGAUAGCUCAUGACAAAGGUUUGCAGCCAAACUUUGAGCCAAACCAAAAGGUUUUAUUGUUCAACUCCAGUCUUCGCUUGUUUCCUGGCAAGCUGCGUUCAAGGUGGUCUGGACCUUUCCUAGUUGUCAAGGCAUAUCCUCAUGGUGCGGUGGAGAUACAAAACUUGAAAGAUGGAACUAUUUUUAAGGUGAAUGGUCAUCGACUAAAACCUUACUUGGAGCUACCUGAGGCUACGAAUAAGAAUGAGAUACCAACAGAGUUGUCUACUAAAAAUCGAGAAGUUUCUGCUGUGACUCUUCCAAUGAAUCAUGUUGAGGUUGUGUACCUCAUGGACCCUAUGUACCAGUGAGAGUUGCUAAGUCUGGCUGAAGACUUAAAACUUAGCCUAAUGGGAGGCAACCCACGGUUUUGGAGGAUGAAGUGUUGAUGCAGCAGCUCAGCUGGAGUGUACUGAAUCUGCUAAUCUGUGGCAGAAGUGUCCGAUUCUGACAUAUAAUAUGUCGAUUUUAUGUGCUUCGACGAGAGCUACAAGACUCAUUGCUUUGCAAUGAGCCCCAGCAAAUUUUGGCCAAAUAACAUUGUCUUCAGUGUCCGAUUCGGGAGUUAAGUUGCAGCAGCCCUGGAGAUUUUUACUUAGAGCAUGUCUUGGUCUUUCUUCCUCUUCAACUACAUUCAGGGAGCUCAAAACUCUAUCUUUGCACUUCAAUUUUCUUUCUUUUUGUGCUUCCUCCCUUACUUGUUUGAUGCAUUGCUGUUAGCUAAUAUUCUUGACAUUGAGGACACUGUCUCAUUUAAGUUUGGGGGGAGGGAUUUAUAAUAUAUUUUUUUUCAAUGUUUAGGUUCACAUGUGGUGGAAUAGCUUGGUAAAAAAUACUGAAAGUCAGCUCUGCAAAAAAAAAAAUUGUUAUGUUUAUGUGAGUCUUUUGUUUUAGUUUCUUCCAACACCUGGGAUGAGAACAUGAAUUGGAUUUCUAUAACAGCUGAUGAUAAUGAUGAGCAUUGAUAUUGGUCUGGACAUCAAUCUUCUGUUAAUAUUUUCUUAUGAUGAUUAUGCUUGGAACAACAGCCAUGGUUAAUAUGAAAAUCUGUGAUCUAGAGAAGCAUGUGAUGGUUAGUGCAGACUUGUAUAACCUUAUGUGAGCUUUUGAGCCUAUUGCCUUUUCUUGAGAGUGUUAUACAUUAGUUCUAUGAUUUUUCUUGCUAGAUAGGUUUUACAUGAUCUCAUUAUAUUGUCCUAGAACUUGCUUCAAUGACUCUCGAGACUUUAUAAGUUUAUAUUGACUCACAUGAAUAAUGGCAAGUGGUUAAGGCAAUUAGGAUCAGCACUAUAGCCAUAUAGCCUCUGUCCUUGAUCAUAUUAUCCCUUAGUUAGCCCUUUGAGCCUUAAUAAGCCUUUUCAUUCAUAAAACACAUAUUCCCAACCCUUUACCCUUAAACACAUAUCCUACCUUUGUUCUGAGAAAUUAAUGGAGCACUACAGCAUAUUGGAACUUUGAAGCAGAGAAUGUCUGGAAGAAAACGAGUUUGGGGGUUGUGAUGUGUACUUGUAGGCAAGAUGGAAUUUGCAGGUCUUUGAAUUUCAGGAAAGGGGAUGCCAUUGUCAAAGUAGUUCUGAAUGCAAAGUGUAGUCUUCUUCUUAAACAA